CUGUCUUGUGGGAGUUUCUGAACACAUAAUAGGCCCACUUGAAUACAUCUCUGUACUUGAGAUUCAACACAUGAAUCCUUCAAACAUGCUUCCAUUAGUUCCAAAGCCCUGUCUUCAUUCCACAGCAACCAUGCCUAAACAUCCAAGAAGCCUGACAAGGUUCCUAUGUUGAAGUUUGGCAAUUGAGGACCAAAGCCACCUUCUCCAAUCGUAUUUGCGUCAGAGAAGUUGCUUGUAGCAGCAGCAAUAGUUGUGAAAUCAAAUAAAGGUCAGGUAUCCACAUAUUGCACGGGAAAUCAAAGCUCUGCCAUAGGAAACUAUCAGAAUUUGUUUCUGUCUUGCCAAACAGAACAAGAUUUCCAGAAUCUAAAAGCCGUGCCACAGGACCUUCUUCGACUCUUGACAGGUUAGAUGACCAGACAAUGCUCUGUGUUCCAUUGAGAAGAACCAGUGAUCUAUUACCACUGAUAGUCAAGACUCCUUGUAAACCUGUUAUUGGAUUGUUUCGGUUGGCAACCCACACAACUGUAUCUGGGGUGGCUUUGUACCAUAUUCCCAAGUACCGGAAUUUGGAGCUGCCCGGAGAGAAGAAGCCGAGCUCAAAACUUUGGCUGGUGGAAACUAAAGUGUCGCCGUCCCGAAGAGAUUGGUUUGAAGCUAAGGUAUCACCUGCAAUGGAGAAUUUCAAGAAGGUUGUGGAAAGUAGUGACGCAAAGGAGAAGAAGAAGAUGAAGAAAGCUUGGCUCUCCAUUGCAUUCUCAAGACAAAAGAAGAGACUUCUGAAGAAUGUUAAUGUUGGGCAUUAGUAUCAGUCUGAAAAAUGAACAUUAGUACCACAACCGAUAUUGUUGUUUAAUUCAUUUGAUUCAAUGGUAGAAAUAAGAUUUGACAAAUGCACAAUUUUUUAAAUUUUAAUUUUUUUUU